UUUAUUCACUUCCACAAACUUGUAUCAUUCGUCAACUACUUUUAUAUCUACACGUUAUUAGUUCUCAUGCUGCCAACAUUGCAUAUGGAGUAGUUUUCGUUAAGAAAACACAUAGCAUAUGGUAUUCCGCAAGUAUGGUGGUCUCAAUAGUAUAAUUCGAUACAUUCAAUGUAUAUUGAAAACUUUCGUACUAUUUAGUCUAACGAUCAUGGAAGAUUAAACGAUAGCUGGACUAGAGGAAACAAAAGCUAAUAAUCAUCAUGAUGUCACAUAAUUAAACUUGGCUCGCCCUAGUCCGCAGUCUCUCUCUUUCUGCCGCCAAGUUUUCAAGCUUCAGAUCUGGGCCUCUCCGGAGAGGUCCCAAUCCUCUUUCUUUUGCUUUUACUUCUUAUGUUCGUAGUUAGAUCCGUGCCAACGUGGGAUUCUUUUUGAUGGUUGUUAACUCGAUCUAGGCUUACCAUCUCAAUGAUGGGUGUUUCAUCGUCUAUUUCUGAUGGGUUUCUUUCCUUGGUGGCUUUCUUCCUUCCCAGCGGGUUGGUGUAAUUACUGAUGGAGAUAUAGGCUUGACGUCUCUAGUAGAGUAGACAGAUUCUUGAUUCUACAGUUGGUUACAACAGAUUUCGAGAUUUGGGUUGAUCCUCGUGAAGGCAUUAUCUCUUGGUACCUCUCCCCGGUCUCAUUUGUGGUCUCUUGUGGCAUUUGGUAGAGUUUUGGGUUUGUUUUAGCAUUUGGACUUGCAAAGCUCUGGUUUUUGCUUUGUCCUUCUCUUGUUGGUUUCGUUCUGGUUUUGCUUGUUACUCAGUUUGAGCUGUUGUGGUAAGUUGGAUGGAUUGCACUUGUGGCUUUUUUGAGGUCUCUAUUUACCUUGGGAUGAGGGUUAAUCAAGAGAUUCAUUAUCAUCCCAAACUGGUUUUGUGUUGGCGCUUCUGACAUUUUGGUUGGAGUUUUUUUCUCUAGUGCCUUAGUUAUGUUGAAGAAGUUGUGCGUAUGAGGAGUGCUUUAUCUUGGUCUUGAUGCAACGGUCCGGAGUAGAUUGAGAGGUUGGGACGUAUGCAGAAAAAAGUAAAACUUGGAGAAUUCUUGCCGGACCAGCCAUUCUUGUAUGGACCAGCCGAUUUCAAUUGGAGCGCCACUACAGGAAAUGUGAGUAUUAAUAGCUGGCGUUAAACGUUAUUAAUUCGUUUUAAUAGCGUUCCCUAAAACGCUCUGACAGCGCCCGUUAUCGUAGGUCUGACCUUUUUGAUAGCGGAUCUGUCGUAUACUAUAGUUAAAUAAACAACGAUAUCGUUAAUAGCUAUGCAAUUUUUAAUAUUUAUAAUAACGUGAUACAAAUGUUAUUAAAAUUUAUUAGUUUGAUUUUAAUGACGUA